GCAGUACGUAUUUUUUUACCCUUUUUAUUUUGUUUAUACAAUCAUAAACUGAUUAUGAACCAUAGAUUUCUAUUAAGUAAUGUAAGCUAAAUAUUUAUAUUAAGUACAUCGUCAAUUCUAUAAAUCAAUCAAACAUGUAAUGAGUAACAAACAUUAACAUUUAAUAAAUUAGAAAGAUAUGUAUUGAACAUCAAAAUUAAUUAAAUAUAUACUUAUAUCCUUAAGAACAUAAAAUGUCAUCUUCUAUAUUCUGAUAAUUAAAAAAUUAACAUAAGUUACACAGAUUAAAAAAUAUGCUAAAAUACUAAUUAUAAGUAGAAAAUGAAAAAGAAAAAAGAGAAAAGAAUAAUUACAAGAAAAUGAAAAAGAAAAAAGGAAAAUAGAACAAUUAGAAGAAAAUGAAAAUGAGACUGUAUGUAUUAAAGGAAACCAACUCAAUCAUUUUUCCAGUGUUACAUUAGCACCACCUGUAUUAUUGUGAGAUCCUCAUAAUCCUAACAAACAUCUCAAUCUCAUCAAAACAAUACGAAAAACCCUAUCAUAANUUGUAACCUCAAGAGGUCAACCUAUAUCCAAGACAUCCACCGGAUUAUCUUACCAUUUGGCUGGGUAUAAGAAUUGAAAACUUACCUCAUAAAAUAGGAAAGAAAAGAAAAAUAUGUAAUUUUUCAGUCUUAGUCGAAUUGUUUUUACCCUUUUAUUUGUAUUUUUAUACCCAAUCAUAAAUGAAUACGCUGAACCAAGAGAUUUCUAUUAAAUAAUGUUAUACCCUUAAAAAAUUUCAUUAAGUAACAUCCCCAAUUUAUCCAAAUCAAUAAAAUACAAAACAUGUAUGAGUAAAACAUUGAGAUUAAAUAGGUUUAGAAGAAGAUAUGUAUUGAACAUUAAAAAUUAAUUUAAAAUAACUAUACUUAUAUCCCUUAAAGCAAUCAUAAAAUGAAAAUCUUCCUAUAUCUGAUAAUUUAAACAAUUAACAUAAUAUAACGAUUAAAAAUAUGCUAAAAUAUAAUAUAAGCUUAGGCGGCGAGUAGAAAUGAAAAAGAAAAAAGCGCAAUAAUUUACUAAAGAAAAUGAAAAAGAAAAAAGAAAUAGAGUAAUUACAAGAAAAUGAAAUAUUGUAAGACCUGAUAUUAGAAACAACUCUCCAAUCCAUUUUUAGUGUUACUUAAGCCACCACCCGUAUUAUUGUGAGAUCUCAUAAUCCUAAACAAACAUCUCAAUCUCAUCAAAACAAUAUGAAAAACCUAUUUUAAUCAAUUGUGGUGUGCUGACGCACCCGCAUAAAGAGGAUAAACUUGAAAAAGAGAAACACAGAUGAAUAAGUCGGACAAAUAAAAUAGUAGAGAUGUUGUAACCUCAAAAGAUCAAUCCUUAUCAAGGAAAGAAAUCAGUUUAUCCUUUAACAUUUGAUAGAUUAAGAAUGAAAUUAGCAUAAAACGAUAGAAAAAACAAGAAAUUAUUACAAUGUUUCCAGCAAUACGUAUUUUUUUACCCUUUGAUGAUUUUACAAUCAUGAACUGAAUAUGAAACAGAGAUUUCUAUUAAAUAAUGUAGAGGGUGGCAAUAUUUCUGGGAAUAAGUACAUCCUCUCCUGGCGAGUGAUAAACAUGAUCAAACAUGUGAUUGUAGUUGGGCAUGGAGUAACGAAUAACCUACACAUAAUUAGUUGAGGAAAGAUAGUAUGUGGGUAACAUCAAAUAUAUUAAAUACAAUCAUACUAUGUGAAUCCUUAAUACAUAAAAUGUGACUUCGAUAGUCUCUAAUAAUAUUAAUAAACAUAAGUCUACAGAUUAAAAAUAUGAAAAAACUAAUUAUAAGUAGAAAAUGAAAAAAGAAAAAAUAAAAAUCAGAAUAAUUACAACCAAUUUAAAAUGACUACCGUUAUGCGUAUAAAGGAAACCAACUCAAUACGUUUUAUCAAACAGUGUGUUACACUACCCACGUUUUUUUGUGAGAUCCUUCAUAAUCCUUAACAAAAAUUUCUCACAUCUCCAUCAAAAAAACAAUAGAAAAAACCCUAUCAUAAUCAUUGUGAUGCAAAGAAAUAAAAUUUGAAAUUAGAGGAAACACAAAUGAUAGAGUGACAAAAUAAACAGUUAGAGAUGAUAUAACCUUCAAGAUUAACCAUUAUCAGAAUCACCUUGGGGGGGGGGGAUCCGUACAUUUGGUAGAUAGAAAAAAAUUACUCAUAAUAAGAUAGAAAAAAAGGAAAAUAUUGACAAUUUUUCAGCAUUCCGUAUUUUUUUACCCUUUGUAUUUGUUUUAUAAAUCUAAACUGCUUAAACCAUAGUAUUUCUAUAAGUAAUGUAAGCUAAAUAUUUUUAUUAUUAAGUACAUCCUCAAUUCUAUAAAUUAAUCAAACAUGUAAUGAGUAACAAAACAUUGACAUUAAAUAAAUUAAGAAAGUUUGAACAUCAAAAUUAAUUAAAUAUUACUUAUAUCCUUAAGACAUAAAAUUGUCAUCAUCUAUAUUCUGAUAUUAAAAAUUGAACAUAAGUUACACAGAUUAAAAAAAAUAUUGCUAAAAUCACUAAUUUAAGUAGAAAAUAAAAGAAAAGAAAAGAAUAAUUACAAGAAAAUGAAAAAGAAAAAGGAAAAUAGAACAAUUAGAAGAAAAUGAAAAUGCGACUUUAUGUUAUAAAGGAAACAAAAUCAAUCAUUUCAAGUGUACAUUAGACCACUUGUAUUUAUUGUGAGAUCUCAUAAUCCGAACAAACAUCGCAAUCUCAUCAAAUAAUAACGAAAAAACCCUAUCUAAUCAUUGGUGACGCCAAGAAUAAAAUGGAAAAUAAAGAGGAAACACAGAUGAAAUGGGUGACAAAAUAAAAAGGUAGAAUUGUGUAACCUUCAAAAAGGAUCAACCUAUAUCAGAAAUCACUGAUCUGUAAUUUGAUACCAUAAGAAUGAAAAAUUACUCAUAAAAGAUAGCAAAGAAAAAGAAAUAUUGACAAUUUCCAGCAGUACGUAUUCUUUUUUUUUUGUACCCUUUGUAUUUUGUUUAUACAAUCAUUAAGUGAAUCUGAACAGAGACUUCUCUAUUAAUAAUGUUAAGCAAAUAUUUUAAGUUAAGUACAUCCCCAUUCUAUACAAAAUUUCAAACAUGUAAUGAGUAAAAACAUUGAGAUUAUAUAGUUUAGAAAAGAUAUGUAUUGAACAUUCAAAAUUAAUUCGAAUUAUAUAUAUCCUUAAGAACAUAAAAUGUCCCAUCUUCUUAUAUUCUGAUAAUCAAAAACAAUUAACAUAAGUUAUACUGAUUAAAAAAUAUGCUAAAAUACUAAUUUAUAAGUAGAAAAUGAAGAAGAAAAAAAAAAGCAUAAUUACAAGAAACUGAAAAAGAAAAAAAAGAAAAUAUAAUAAUUACGAAGAAAAUGAAAAUUGAGUACUGUAUGGAUUAGGAAACCAACUCAAUCAUUUUUCCAGUGUUACAUUAGCACCACCUGUAUUAUUGUGAGAUCCUCAUAAUCCUAACAAAACAUUCUCAAUCUCAUUCAAAAAGCAAUACGAAAAAACCUUUCAUAAUCAUGGUGAGCAAUAAGUAAUUGAAAUAGAGGAAACACAGAUGAUGAAUAGGGUGACAAAUAAAAAAGGUAGAGAUGUUGUAACCUUCAAAAGAUCAAACCUAUAUCAGGAAAUCAAUUACAUUUGAUAGAUAAGAAUGAACAGAUUACUCAUAAGAUUAGAAAAAAUAAAGGAAUUAUUACAAUUUCUCUGCAGUACGUUAUUUUUUUUACCCUGUAUAUUGUUUAUACAAUCAUAAAGUGAUAUGAACCAGAGAUUUCUAUUAAAAUAAUGUAAGCUAAAUAUUUCUAUAAGUUUACAUCCUCACAUUAUAUAUAUCAAUCAACAUGGUGAAUGAGUAAACAAACCUUGACAUUAAUUAGUUUAGAAAGAUAUGUAUUUAACAUCAAAAUUAAUUUAAAUAUAUACUUAUAUCCUAAGAAACAAAAAAUGUCCAUCUUCUAUAUUCUGAUAAUGAAUUAAUUAACAUAAGUUCUACAGAUUAAAAAAUAUGAUAAAAUACUAAUUAAAGUAGGAAAAUGAAAAGAAAAAUAAAUAGAUUUAAUUACAAGAAAAUGAAAGAAAAAAGAAAAUAAAUAAACAACAAAUUUUAAAAUGAGACCGUAUUGUUUAAAGGGAAACCAACUCAAUAAGUUUUCCAGUGUUACACUAGCACCCUUAUUAUUGUGAAGAUCCUGCAUAACGCUAACAAGAAAAUCUCAAUCUCAUCAAAACAAUAGAAAAACCCUAGUCAUAAUCAUUGGUCGAUGCAAAGAAUAAAAUUGAAAAUAACAGGAAACACAAUAAUAGCAAGUGACAAAAUAAAACCAAGUUAGAGAUGUAUAACCUUCAAAAAUUAAACCUAUACCAGAAAUCACUUGAUCCUUACAUUUGGGUAGAUAAGAAAGAAAUUACUCAUAAAAGAUAAAAAAAAAAAGGAAAAUUAUGACAAUUUUUCAGGCAGUACGUAUUUGUUUACCCUUUUUUAUUUUGUUAUACAAUCUAAACUGAUUAAUGAACCAUAGAUUUCUAUUAAGUAAUGUAAGCCUAAUAUUUAUAUUAAGUACAAUUCCUCAUAUUCAAUAAUUAAAUUCAAACAAUGUAAUGAGUAACAAACAUUGACAUUGAAAUAAAUUAGAAAGAUAUGGUAUUGAACACAAAAUAAAUUAAAUAUAUACUUAUACUCUUAAGAACAUUAAAAUGUCAUCUUCUUAUAUUCUGAUAAUUAAACAAUACUAACAUAGUUACACAGAUUAAAAUAUGCUAAAAUAACGAAUUAUAAGUAGGAAAUGAAAAAGAAAAAAAAAAAAAGAAUAAUUACAAGAAAAUGAAAAAGAAAAAAGGAAAAUAGAAACAAUUAGAAGAAAAUGAAAAAUGAGGCUUUAUGUAUUAAGGAAAAACCCAACUCAAUCAUUUUUCAAGUGUACAUAGCACCACUUGUAUUAUUGUGAAUCACUCAAUCCUAACAAAACAUCUCAAUCUCAUCAAAAUAAUUACGAAAAAAAACCCGAUCAUAAUUCAUUGGUGACGACAAGAAAUUAAAAUUGAAAAUAAGAGGAACACAGUGAAUAGGGUGGACAAAAUAAAAAGGGUAUUAGAUGUGUAAACCUUCAAAAGAUCAACCGAUGAUCAGAAAUUCACUUUUGAUCGUACCUUUGAUACAAAAAGAAUGAAGAUUAUCAUAAAAGAUAGAAAGAAAAAGAAAAUAUAGACAAUUUUUCAGUAUACGUAUUUUUUUUCCCUUUGUUUUUGUUAUAUUACAAUCUAAAGUGAAUCCUGAACACAGAGAUUUCUAUUAAAUAAUGUAAGCUAAAUAUUUUAUUAAAAGUUACAUCCCCAUUUCUAUAAUAACAAACAUGUAAUGAGUAAAAAACAUUGAGAUUAAAUAGUGAAAGAUAUGUAUGUGAACUCAAAAAGUUAAUUCAAUAUCAUACUUACUAUUCCUUAAGAACAUAAAAUGUCAUCUUCUAUAUUCUGAUAAUUAAAACAAUUAACAUAAGUUAUACUGAUAAAAAAAUAUGCUAAAAAUACUAAUUAUAAGUAGAAAUGAAACAGAAAAAAAAGAAUAAUUACAGGAAAUGAAAAAGAAAAAAAGAAAUAGAAUAAUUACAGAAAACUGAAAAUGAGAUGUGAUGUAUUAAAGAGAAACUCAAUCAAUUUUUCCAGUGUUACAUUGCACCACCUUGUAUUAUUGUGAGAUCCUCAUUUCCUAACAAACAUCUCAAUCUUCAUCAAAACAAUCGAAAACCUUAUCAUAAUCUUGUGACGCAGAAUAAAAUUGGAAAAUAAGGAGGAAAACACAGAUGAAUAGGGUGACAAAAUAAAAAAAGGUAGAGAUGUGUAACCUUCAAAAGAUCAACCUAUAUCAGAAUCAUUUGAUCUGACAUUUGAAGAUAAGAAUGAAUUACUCAUAAAAGAUAGGAAAAAAAUAAGGAUUAUUACAAUUUUGCCGGCAGUACGGAUUUUUUACCCCUUUGUAUAUUGUUUAUACCCAAUCAUAAGUAAAUAUGAAACCAGAGAUUUCCUAUUAUUCAAUUAGUUUACUUCAUCAUAAUAUAAUAAUAUAUUAUCUUUUCCUCAUAAUUUCUUUACUCACAAUCGAUUAUAAAUAAUGUAAGUCUAAAUAUUUCUAACAAGUACAUCCUCAAUUAUAUAUAUCAAUCAAACAUGUAAAUGUAGUAACAAUCCUUGACAUAAAAUUAGUUUAGAAAGAUAUGUAUUUAACAUUCAAAAUUAAUUAAACAUAUAGACUUAUAUCCUAGAACAGUAAAAUGUCAUCUUCUAUUUUCUAUUUUAAUUAAUAAUUAACAUAAGUUCUACAGAUUAAAAAAUUAUGUAAAAUACUAAUUAUAAGUAGAAAAUGAAAAGAAAAAAAUAAAAUAGAUUAAUUACCAGAAAUGAAAAAGAAAAAAAGAAAAUAGAAUAUAAACAACAAAUUUAAAUGAGACCGUCAUGUAUUUAUAAAGAAACCAACUCAAUAAAGGUUCCCAGUUGUUACACUAGCACGCACGUUUUUAUUGUGAGAUCCUCAUAACGCUAACAAACAUCUCAAUCUCAUCAAAAAUACGAAAAACUCCCUAUCAGUAAAUCAUUGGUGAUGCAAGAAUAUUUGAAAAUACAGGAAAACACAAAUGGAAUAGAGUGACAAAAGUAAACAAAGUUAAGGAGAUGUAUAAACCUUCAAAAGAUUUAAACCUAUACCAGAAAUCACUUGAUCCGUACAUUUGGUAGAUAAGAAAGGAAAAAUUACUCAUAAAGAUAGAAAAAAAAAAGGAAAAAUAUUUGACCAAUUUUUUUCAGCAGUACGUAUAUUUUUACCCUUUUUAUUUGUUUAUACAAUCAUAAACAUGAUUAUGAACCAUAGAUUUCUAUUAAGUAAUGUAAGCCAAUAUUUAUAUUAAGGUACAUCGUCAAUUCUAUAAAUUCAAUCGAAACAUUAAUUGAGUAACAACAUUUAACAUUUAAUAAAAUUAGAAGAUAUCUAUUGACAUCAAAAUUAAUUAAAUAUAUUUCUUAUAUCUUAAGAACAUAAAAUGUCAUCUUCUAUAUUCUGAUAUUAAAAAUUAACAUAAGUUACACAGAUUAAAAAAUAUGCUAAAAUACUAAUUAUAAGUAGAAAAUGAAAAAGAAAAAAAGAGAAAAGAAUAAUUACAAGAAAAAUUGAAAAAGAAAAAAGGAAAUGAACAGGAUUAGAAGAAAAUGAAAAUGAGACUGGUAUGUAUUAAAGGAAAACGAUCAAUCAUUUUUCCAUGUUACAUAGCACCACCUUGUAUUAUUGUAGAUCCUCAUAAUCCUAACAAAAUCUCCAAUCUCAUCAAAACAUACCAAAAACCCUAUCAUAAUCAUUGGCUGACGCAAGAUAAAAUUGAAAAUAAGAGAAACACAGAUGAAUAGGGUAGUUUAGAAAGAUAUGUAUUGAACAUCAAAAUUAAUUAAAUAUAUACUUAUAUCCUUAAGAACAUAAAAUGUCAUCUUCUAUAUUCUGAUAAUUAAACAAUUAACAUAAGUUAUACUGAUUAAAAAAAUGCUAAAAUACUAAUUAUAAGUAGAUAAUGAAAAAGAAAAAAAGAAAAUAGAAUAAUAACAACAAAUUUAAAAUAAGACCGUAUGGUAUAAAGGAAACCAACUCAAUCCGUUUUCCAGUGUUACACUAGCACCACGUUUAUUAUUGUGAGAUCCUCAUAAUCCUAACAAAAAUCUUAAUCUCAUCAAAACAAUACGAAAAACCCUAUCAUAAUCAUUGGUGAUGCAAGAAUAAAAUUGAAAAUAACAGGAAACACAAAUGAAUAGAGUUAAAAAAUAAACAAGUUAGAGAUGUCUAACCUUCAAAAGAUUAACCUAUAUCAGACAUCACUUGGUCCAUACAUUUGAUAGAUAAGAAAGAAAAUUACUCAUAAAAGAUAGAAAAAAAAGGAAAAUAUGACAAUUUUUCAGCAGUACGUAUUUUUUUAACCUUUGUAUUUUGUUUAUACAAUCAUAAACUGAUUAUGAACCAGAGAUUUCUAUUAUGUAAUGUAAGCUAAAUAUUUGGAUUAAGUACAUCCUCAAUUAUAUAAAUCAAUCAAACAUGUAAUGAGUAACAAACAUUGACAUUAAGUAGUAUAGAAAGGUAUGUAUUGAACAUCAAAAUCAAUUAAAUAUAUACUUAUAUCCUUAAGAACAUAAAAUGUCAUCUUCUAUAUUCUGAUAAUUAAACAAUUAACAUAAGUUAUAAAAUUAAAAAUAUGCUAAAAUACUAAUUAUAAGUAGAAAAUGAAAAAGAAAAAAGAAAAAAGAAUAAUUACAAGAAAAUGAAAAAGAAAAAAAGAAAAAAGAAUAAUUACAAGAAAAUGAAAAUGAGACUGGAUUUAUUAAAGGAAACCAACUCAAUCAUUUUUCUAGUGUUAUAUUAGCACCACCUGUAUUAUUGUGAGAUCCUCAUAAUCCUAACAAACAUCUCAAUCUCAUCAAAACAAUACGAAAAGCCCUAUCAUAAUCAUUGGUGACGCAAGAAUAAAAUUGAAAAUAAGAGGAAACACAAAUGAAUAGGGUGACAAAAUAAAAAAGGUAGAGAUGUGUAACCUUCAAAAGAUCAACCUAUAUCAGAAUUCACUUGAUCUGUAUAUUUGAUAGAUAAGAAUGAAAAU
rnacentral:lncRNA from 1 species